ACUACCAGUAAGCAUCAACUUCAUACAUUAACUUAGAUUAGCAGCCAAAAUAACAGAGAAGACGUUUUAGAUAUGCUUUAAUUAAGAAGUCAGUAACCAUAAUUAGUUCAUAGUAGAAUGGCUGCGGAAGCGACGUGGCAGAAAAAGAAAAGAGGGAAAAGAAAGGCAAACAACAAAAAAGGUUACCAAUCAGUAGGCUAUACAGGAGAGUUCAUGGAGGAGUUCAUGGAUGUUAUGAAGGCAGCUUCAGCAGCUUUGUGGUCGCUGAAAAAUCGUUUUUCUCCAUCAACUACAACACUCAGAGUGCAAGGAUAACAAAGGGAAUACUCGAGACCCAUUUCCCGGAGCCUCCGUUUAAUCGUUUCCUCGUCAAGUUAGUGCUAUAGUCCGGGUAGAUGAAGAUGCGGCUGCCGAUAAAAGUCAGAUCUAUUUUUCCACGAGCUAGGCGAAGGAUCUUUAAUUUAUCUUGAAAGUGGAGCAACUUGAUCAGGAUAGGCCUAGGACUGGGUCUCUCGUUUGAGUGGACUUUGUGGACAGGAGUGCGGUGUGCCCUCUCGAUAGCCGGCGGUGUGGGAAAGUCGUCUUUGCCCAGGAGUUGAGGGAUCAGACCAGCCAUAAAUCCAAGAAUGUUGUACCAGAGGCCCUCUGCGGCCUCUGGUAUCCAGAGAAAGCGCAGAUUUGCAGAUCUGCUCCGAUUGUCAAGAUCCUCGACCUUAUCAACCAGGUGACAGCCGCUCCUGUAAGCAUAUAAAAGAAAGGCCCAACAUUCAGAGCACAACAAUCUCCUCGACCAUCUGUGAGACAGUCGGCUCAAGACUCAAAGGUGUGAUCACUGUAACCAUGCUGAAGGUAGCACUUGUGCUUGGAUGCCUCCUGAGCAUCGCUCUGGCUCAUCCUAUGGAGCACACACAAGUUCCUCGGUCUGACUCCAACUCUAACUCGGAGUCCAAUGAGGCUGCUGGGCCACAGACGGUGACGGUGCCAAAAUUUUGGCAAGAUCUUAUUGGCAUCCUCAGUAAACUAAUAACUCCACCUCCUGCUACUACUAAAAAGUAAAAUCUGAAAUGUAAUCAGAGAUCUGACUCAAAGUCCAAUGAGAGUCCCACAACCAAGCCAACCACGGUGACUACUACCACGGCUGCAGUGGAUUUCCUACAAUGUCUCAGACUUUCUUACCAUGCUGAAAAGUGACCUGCUACAACUACUGGUGCAGCUUCUGCUACACAAUACAAUCUAAAUGUAAUUAAUUAAUAAGUGAUUGAAAACCAGUUUUGCAUGACACAGCUUUUGUUUUGUGUCAAUGUAUUACGAAGAACCAACAAUUGUUUCUUUUGUUUCAUUCUAAUUGAAUCCAACAUGUGGAUCAAAGACACUUUAUUC